rnacentral:rRNA from 1 species
UACGUAGGUGGCAAGCGUUGUCCGGAAUUAUUGGGCGUAAAGCGCGCGCAGGCGGCCUCUUAAGUCUGAUGUGAAAGCCCCCGGCUCAACCGGGGAGGGCCAUUGGAAACUGGGAGGCUUGAGUAUAGGAGAGAAGAGUGGAAUUCCACGUGUAGCGGUGAAAUGCGUAGAGAUGUGGAGGAACACCAGUGGCGAAGGCGA